rnacentral:miRNA from 1 species
AUCAGAAACUGGGAGGAGGAGGAGGAGGAGGAGGAGGAGGAGGAGGAAAUCCCAACUUUAGAUCUUUAGAUCCCCUCAGAGCUUCAGAGAAAUCACAGUCUGAGGAAAGUCCUCUUCUCUUCUUCAGCGGUUAUCAGACCAGAUCCUGGAGCAGCUGAACUCUCUCAGCCUCCCUCCAGAUUUUCUCAGGAAGUCGGUGACGUCCUCCUCCUCCUCCUCCUCCUCCUCCUCCUCCUCCUCCUCGGUGA